CCUACGGGAGGCAGCAGUGGGGAAUCUUGCGCAAUGGGCGAAAGCCUGACGCAGCAACGCCGCGUGGAGGAAGAAGGCCUUAGGGUUGUAAACUCCUGUCAGGGGGGAAGAAGGCACCUGGGUUAAUAGCCCAAGGGCUGACGGUACCCCCAGAGGAAGCCACGGCUAACUACGUGCCAGCAGCCGCGGUAAUACGUAGGUGGCGAGCGUUGUCCGGAAUCAUUGGGCGUAAAGCGCGCGUAGGCGGCUUGCCAGGUCUGAUGUGAAAUCUUGGGGCUCAACUCCAAGCGUGCAUCGGAAACCGGCUGGCUAGAGUCUGGGAGAGGAGAGUGGAAUUCCUGGUGUAGCGGUGAAAUGCGUAGAUAUCAGGAGGAACACCGGUAGCGAAGGCGGCUCUCUGGAACAGUACUGACGCUGAGGCGCGAAAGCUAGGGGAGCAAACAGGAUUAGAUACCCUGGUAGUCCUAGCCGUAAACGAUGGACACUAGGUGUCGGGAGUGUCGACUUUCUCGGUGCCGAAGCUAACGCAUUAAGUGUCCCGCCUGGGGAGUACGGCCGCAAGGCUAAAACUCAAAGGAAUUGACGG
rnacentral:rRNA from 1 species